ensembl:snRNA U4 U4 spliceosomal RNA
AGCUUUGCGCAGUGGCAGUAUCGUAGCCUAUGAGGUUUAUCCGAGGCGCGAUUAUUGCUAGUUGAAAACUUUACCCAAUACCCCGCCUAGACGACUUGAAAUAUAGUCGGCGACGGCAAUUUUUGAUAGUCUCCAAGGAGA